GCAUCAUUAACUCAAUUGGCUAGAGUUCUUGCCUUCCAAGCAAGUUGUUGUGAGUUCGAGUCUCACAUGAUGCUCCA
rnacentral:tRNA from 1 species